CGAAGAUGGUUCAAAGAGCAUCUAUGUGUGACCUAAAGGACUGCUGCCAAAUCAAUGCCUGCCUGGAUGAUUCAGACUCAUUAGGGAUGCAGCAAUUCUACUGCUGCCUUCCAUUUUCAGAGAGGACUCAUCCUUUCUAUACACUCUACUGGAGGAGCCAAGCGUGCCUACUCCAGCAAUCAUGCUCCAUAACACACACGAGGGGAACCCUUUGCAGGCACAAAGGAUAGUCCUAUACCUGGAUGGUAUACAGGUUUUGACUGAGGACAGCAGCAUGGACAAAUCAUAUGCUAUGAGUGCAUUAAUGUCACUCUAUAUUGUUUUUGCUGUCCAGUACCCAAAGGAACUGAGAAAAACUCUUAUUUUCAUUGAAAGAUUUGUGUUGGGGAUCAAGGACCACAGUGUUGUACCCAUUUCAGUGAAGAGACUAUACAACUGUGUCGGAAGUGGGGAGUAGUGAGUAGAUGUGUUGCAGCAUGGGAUUUCAUGCUUUAUGUUCUUGUUAAUGGUCAAAUUCCUGCUGCUGCCCUUUGUUUGUACAUAUUGAUAAAAAAAUAUCCCUUAUUUAAUACAUAUUUUGGACCAAUACAUUUUGUUUGAUUUUGGCAUAGUGACGUCUCUAGAUUUCCAUUAUUGUUACAAUACGUAACAUUUUGAGUACUUAUUACAUAACACUGAAAAGUAUUUCAACAUUAUUUAAAUCAAUGUGAAAACUUUGUGGGAUUCCCUCACUUUCUCAUGAUUCUGUUCCACUGUCACAAUUAGUACAUACAGUAUGUACACUGAUUCUUUUCAUUGGACCAUGCAUUAUUUUAUUGUUUGUAGAUAGCUUACAAUAAGGCGCAGUAAAUAAAUAAAUAAAUGAUAAAUGGGUUGUACUUGUAUAGCGCUUUUCUACCUUCAAGGUACUCAAAGCGCUUUGACACUACUUCCACAUUUACCCAU